rnacentral:rRNA from 1 species
UACAGAGGGUGCGAGCGUUAAUCGGAAUUACUGGGCGUAAAGGGCGCGUAGGUGGCCGCCUAAGUCAGACGUGAAAUCCCUCGGCUCAACCGGGGAACUGCGUCUGAUACUGGGUGGCUUGAAUCCGGGAGAGGGAUGCGGAAUUCCAGGUGUAGCGGUGAAAUGCGUAGAUAUCUGGAGGAACACCGGUGGCGAAGGCGGCAUCCUGGACCGGCAUUGACGCUGAGGCGCGAAAGCCAGGGGAGCAAACGGG